GACGAACCGUGCGAACGUUGUUCGGAAUCAUUGGGCUUAAAGGGCGCGUAGGCGGUCUGCCAAGUCCGGGGUGAAAGCCCCCAGCUCAACUGGGGAAGUGCCUUGGAUACUGGCGGACUCGAGGGAGGCAGGGGUUGUGGGAACUUCCGGUGGAGCGGUGAAAUGCGUUGAUAUCGGGAGGAACGCCGGUGGCGAAAGCGCACAACUGGUCCUCUUCUGACGCUGAGGCGCGAAAGCCAGGGGAGCAAACGGG
rnacentral:rRNA from 1 species